ensembl:lncRNA
GAGUCCAGCUCUUCUGAUGACAGCUCCUCUUCCUCAUCCUCCUCGUCUUCCUCCUCCUCUGAUAGUGAGGAUGAUGAGGUGAGAAGUCUAAACACACAGGAUAUAUUUUCAAUAUUAAAUGUCAGCUAUUAACAGGAAGUCAGCAUGAUUCUCUGUGCCUUCAAUCCACUUUCAUCUGUGUCUUCCAAAAAGAAAAAGAACAAGAAAAAGAAAGAUAAGAAAAAGAAGAAGGAUAAGAAGAAUAAAGACAAGAAGAAAGAUAAGAAGAAAGAUAAGAAAAAGAAGAAAAAGAAGGUGAGAUUCUCAUCCUUAAAUGCCCUUACUUACGGAGGUCAGUUGGCAUGUUUCAAUCGUCUUUCGUGAGGCGUCUGCAUUAAGUUUUUUCUGCUUUGAGUUACAGUUGACAUUAGCAAUUCAACUAAUAUUUUAUUUUAUUUUGUGAGAGCUUUAAACCUCCGGCCGUGUGAGUUUGCAGCUGCAGUCGUCUUUUGCAGGACUGGUAGUGUAAGUGUGUUGUUGUGUCUCUCAGGACGACAGCUCUGACUCAGACAGUGAUGAUGACAAAAAGAAGAAGAAGAAGAAGAAGAAGCAGAAGGUGUGUUUCUUCAGUGUCCAUGGAUAGGCAAUGCUGCUUCUUGUAGCCACAAUGAUCCACAGUGUUUAAACGUGCCUUUAUGUAAAAACGUUUUUUUCUUUACAAUUAGUCAAUGUAUAAUGGAAUUAGAAAAAAAAUAAUGCCAAUUUAUUUCCCGAUGUUCUUACAGGACUCAUCUGACAGUGAGGAUGACAAGAAGAAAAAGAAGAAGAAAGACAAAAAGAAAAAGGAUGCUUCCUCAUCUGACUCUGAUUCUUCUUGUGAUGAGAAGAAAAAGAAGAAGAAGAAGAAGGAUAAGAAGAAGAAGAAGAAGAAGAAGGAAAAGUCAAAGGACUCUGAUUCUUCAAGCAGUGAUGAUGAUAAGAAGAAAAAGAAGAAGAAAAAGAAGAAGAAGAAGCAGAAGAAGAAGGACUCCAGUUCAAGUUCAUCUGACAGUGACAGCGGCAAAGAUAAGGAUAAAAAGAAGAAGAAGAAGAAGAAGGAUAAGAAAAAGAAGAAGAAGAAGGACAAAGGUCCACCAAGUUCAUGUGAUAGUGAAGGUGGCAACGAUGAGAAGAAGAAGAAGGAUAAGAAGGGCUCAUCAGGGAGUGACACUGACAAGGAGAACAAGAAGCAGGACGCCAAAGACGACGGUCAAAGGGGAACGCCAACGGCGGGAGGCUCUGUUGAAACGCCGAAGUGUUCACUCCCCACGGAGAGGGAGCCCAUCCCCGGGAGUGGCGGUAGCAUCAGCACCGUCACACUGAAGGGUUCGCUCCCCAAGGAGAGGGAGCCCAUCCCCGGGUGUGGCGGUAGCAUCAGCACCGUCACGCUGAAGGGUUCGCUCCCCAAGGAGAGGGAGCCCAUCCCCGGGUGUGGCGGUAGCAUCAGCACCGUCACGCUGAAGGGUUCGCUCCCCGCACAGCGGGAGCCCAUCCCCGGCAGCCGCGGUAGCAGCAGCACCGUCAGCUUCCCCAGCAGCUCCGUCAGCACAGUCAGGCUCAGCAGCGGCGGUGGCGGUACUGGUGGUGUUUGUGUUGGUGGUGGUGGUGUUGGUGGCACCAGCGCCCCAGCCCCUGUAUUGCUCCCAUCCAGAUCAUUGGUUAAACUGGAG